CCUACGGGAGGCAGCAGUGGGGAAUAUUGGACAAUGGGGGGAACCCUGAUCCAGCCAUGCCGCGUGUGUGAAGAAGGCCCUCGGGUUGUAAAGCACUUUCAGUGAGGAAGAACGCCUGGUGGUUAAUACCCAUCAGGAAAGACAUCACUCACAGAAGAAGCACCGGCUAACUCCGUGCCAGCAGCCGCGGUAAUACGGAGGGUGCGAGCGUUAAUCGGAAUUACUGGGCGUAAAGCGCGCGUAGGUGGCUUGAUAAGCCGGUUGUGAAAGCCCCGGGCUCAACCUGGGAACGGCAUCCGGAACUGUCAAGCUAGAGUGCAGGAGAGGAAGGUAGAAUUCCCGGUGUAGCGGUUAAAUGCGUAGAGAUCGGGAGGAAUACCAGUGGCGAAGGCGGCCUUCUGGACUGACACUGACACUGAGGUGCGAAAGCGUGGGUAGCAAACAGGAUUAGAUACCCCUGUAGUC
rnacentral:rRNA from 1 species